rfam:Trichobilharzia regenti genome assembly, scaffold: TRE_scaffold0016373
AUUCAGAUGACGAGACCCAAACAGGACGAAAUGUGCAUCCUGGAU